GGCGGCGUGGUGUAAUGCUAACACAUCAGUCCAGUCUACUGAAGAUGCUGGUUCGCUCCCAGCCGCGAAUA
rnacentral:tRNA from 1 species